UAAAAUGAGAGAUUUGAUCCUGGCUCAGGACCGCGAAUUGCGGGUGCCUAUACAUGCAAGUCGAACGAAACUUUCUUACACCGAAUGCUUGCAUUCAUCGUAAGAAGUUGAGUGGCGGACGGGUGAGUAACACGUGGGUAACCUGCCUAAAAGAAGGGGAUAACACUUGGAAACAGGUGCUAAUACCGUAUAUCUCUAAGGAUCGCAUGAUCCUUAGAUGAAAGAUGGUUCUGCUAUCGCUUUUAGAUGGACCCGCGGCGUAUUAACUAGUUGGUGGGGUAACGGCCUACCAAGGUGAUGAUACGUAGCCGAACUGAGAGGUUGAUCGGCCACAUUGGGACUGAGACACGGCCCAAACUCCUACGGGAGGCAGCAGUAGGGAAUCUUCCACAAUGGACGCAAGUCUGAUGGAGCAACGCCGCGUGAGUGAAGAAGGUCUUCGGAUCGUAAAACUCUGUUGUUAGAGAAGAACACGAGUGAGAGUAACUGUUCAUUCGAUGACGGUAUCUAACCAGCAAGUCACGGCUAACUACGUGCCAGCAGCCGCGGUAAUACGUAGGUGGCAAGCGUUGUCCGGAUUUAUUGGGCGUAAAGGGAACGCAGGCGGUCUUUUAAGUCUGAUGUGAAAGCCUUCGGCUUAACCGGAGUAGUGCAUUGGAAACUGGAAGACUUGAGUGCAGAAGAGGAGAGUGGAACUCCAUGUGUAGCGGUGAAAUGCGUAGAUAUAUGGAAGAACACCAGUGGCGAAAGCGGCUCUCUGGUCUGUAACUGACGCUGAGGUUCGAAAGCGUGGGUAGCAAACAGGAUUAGAUACCCUGGUAGUCCACGCCGUAAACGAUGAAUGCUAGGUGUUGGAGGGUUUCCGCCCUUCAGUGCCGCAGCUAACGCAAUAAGCAUUCCGCCUGGGGAGUACGACCGCAAGGUUGAAACUCAAAGGAAUUGACGGGGGCCCGCACAAGCGGUGGAGCAUGUGGUUUAAUUCGAAGCGACGCGAAGAACCUUACCAGGUCUUGACAUCCUUUUGACCACCUAAGAGAUUAGGUUUUCCCUUCGGGGACAAAGUGACAGGUGGUGCAUGGCUGUCGUCAGCUCGUGUCGUGAGAUGUUGGGUUAAGUCCCGCAACGAGCGCAACCCUUGUUGUCAGUUGCCAGCAUUAAGUUGGGCACUCUGGCGAGACUGCCGGUGACAAACCGGAGGAAGGUGGGGACGACGUCAAGUCAUCAUGCCCCUUAUGACCUGGGCUACACACGUGCUACAAUGGACGGUACAACGAGUCGCGAGACCGCGAGGUUUAGCUAAUCUCUUAAAGCCGUUCUCAGUUCGGAUUGUAGGCUGCAACUCGCCUACAUGAAGUCGGAAUCGCUAGUAAUCGCGAAUCAGCAUGUCGCGGUGAAUACGUUCCCGGGCCUUGUACACACCGCCCGUCACACCAUGAGAGUUUGUAACACCCAAAGCCGGUGGGGUAACCGCAAGGAGCCAGCCGUCUAAGGUGGGACAGAUGAUUGGGGUGAAGUCGUAACAAGGUAGCCGUAGGAGAACCUGCGGCUGGAUCACCUCCUUU
rnacentral:rRNA from 1 species